rnacentral:rRNA from 1 species
UACGUAGGGGGCUAGCGUUGUCCGGAAUCAUUGGGCGUAAAGCGCGCGUAGGCGGUCCGGUAAGUCCGCUGUGAAAGUCGAGGGCUCAACCCUCGAAUGCCGGUGGAUACUGUCGGGCUAGAGUGCGGAAGAGGCGAGUGGAAUUCCUGGUGUAGCGGUGAAAUGCGCAGAUAUCAGGAGGAACACCUAUUGCGAAGGCAGCUCGCUGGGACGUUACUGACGCUGAGGCGCGAAAGCGUGGGGAGCAAACAGG